rnacentral:rRNA from 1 species
AGAGUUUGAUCAUGGCUCAGAACGAACGCUGGCGGCGUGCUUAACACAUGCAAGUCGAGUGCGCGGUUGUAGCAAUACAACUGGCGCACGGCGCACGGGUGCGUAACACGUGGGUAACCUGCCCUUUGGUGGGGAAUAACUCCGCGAAAGCGGAGCUAAUUCCGCAUAAGAUCCGCAAGGAUGAAAGCCGCAAGGCGCCGAAGGAGGGGCCCGCGCCCGAUUAGCUAGUUGGUGAGGUAAUGGCUCACCAAGGCUUUGAUCGGUAGCUGGUCUGAGAGGAUGAUCAGCCACACUGGAACUGAGACACGGUCCAGACUCCUACGGGAGGCAGCAGUGGGGAAUCUUGCACAAUGGGCGAAAGCCUGAUGCAGCGACGCCGCGUGGGGGAUGAAGCAUUUCGGUGUGUAAACCCCUUUCGAUCCGGACGAAACCCCGCAAGGGAUUGACGGUACGGAUAUAAGAAGCCCCGGCUAACUACGUGCCAGCAGCCGCGGUAAGACGUAGGGGGCCAGCGUUGUUCGGAAUUACUGGGUGUAAAGGGUUCGUAGGCGGUGUAGCAAGUCGGGAGUGAAAUCUCUGGGCUUAACCCAGAGGCUGCUUCCGAAACUGCUGUGCUUGAGUGUGGGAGAGGCGCGUGGAAUUGCAGGUGUAGCGGUGAAAUGCGUAGAUAUCUGCAGGAACACCCGUGGCGAAAGCGGCGCGCUGGACCACUACUGACGCUGAGGAACGAAAGCUAGGGGAGCAAACAGGAUUAGAUACCCUAGUAGUCC